UGCGUUGGCGUUUUAUUACACACACAUUCGUCUGAAUAUGGUUUAACUUCGCCGUUUGACGUUUAUAAUCAUAUUUAUUUUAUGUGUAUACAUAUAAAAUAUCUAUGCAUCGAUCUCAUGCUUUUUAUAGAUGGCAUCUGUGCUGCUCUGUUCCAAUAUUCCUGCAAUAGAGACUGGAACCGGAAGUGAGCCCUGCGGCUGCCUCAAGACUUUGAUACAGUGGUUCCCAAGCCCGGUCUACAGGUGAGCCCAGAUCUCCGUUUGACGAAAUUGCCAGGAUGACGUCAUCAGGUAGGGCUAGGUGGUGCGACAACAACAACACAUUAAUAUACGUUUUAGACAAAAAUAAAUAAAUUAAUUAAUUAAAAAGAUCCCAGAUCUUAUUGCUUUAAUUGCUUGCUUUUAUUUAUAGAGCUGAGGAAAACCAAGGUUAUCCUGCAAAAACGUUCGACCUUCGUUUCUUUUACAAUUUAGAAGUCUCCACGCAAGCCAUUGGAGACGUUGCCAUUUCAAGAAAUUUGUUGCAGUAGAAAGAACAGAAAUAAUGUAUUCCAGACUUCUGAUUCUCCUUUUCCUGGUGGCUGCCGUGGUGGCUAUGGCCAACGCACGGUGUACUUGUGAAGACAACCUGCAGAAGACCACGCAGAUCUACCAACAGAUAAUCAACCAGCUGAUUCAAGGAAUGUCGCAGUUUGGAGGUGCACCAAUACAAAACGCCGGAAAAUAAAUUUUGGAGGAUUGGAUUUAUCACUGUGCAGAGAUGACAAAACGAAGGAGGACUUCAUAAAACUGACACAACUGCAUGUAAUAAACCUUAUCUACAGUA
rnacentral:misc_RNA from 1 species